CUGUUGCCAUUGUCAACUUACAGGAGCGGUGGUAGGAUGUUGGGUGAAAUGUUGCCCUGAACAGUUCCAUUAUAUUUGUGCUAAAGAGAGAGGCUAUGAACUGAAUGAGGAAACAUUCUGUGUCCUUUGCCCUGAGCACAAGAAAGGAGGGGGUAGAGAGUGCUAGACUGGCAAGGAGAAGCUCAAGCUGCAACUUUGGAUCAGAAAUGAUACCCCCUCCCCCCCAAGCAGACUUGAAGGUUUUAAAAUGUUUUCUUGAUACAAGGAGAUAUUUCAAUGUUUUUGUAUAGUGUAAAUGAUGGACAUUUUGAAGCCACUCAGGAAAAUGAAAUCAGUUCCAUUACUGAA